CACGCAUGUCUAAUUUUUGUAUUUUUAGUAGAGACAGGGUUUCACCAUGUUGGCCAGGCUGGUCCUUGAACUCUGGCAUCAAGUGAUCCGCCUGCCUUGGCCUCCCAAAGUGCUGGAAUUACAGGUGUGAGCCACUUUGCCCAGCCUGAAGAACUUUAUAUAUGUCAAAGUGCUCCAACAGUACAAUUUCCAGCCAUCCUUGAUGAAGUUAUGUGAGGAGGUAGCAUUAAGUUUGCUGGGUGAUAAAUCCAUAAGAAAUUGGCUGUUGAUUGGCCAAACGUAAAAAUUUGGCUUGUGUUUUAAGUCUGUUUGGGCUAACAAAAAAAUACUAUAGGCUGGGUGACUUAUAAACAACAGAAUUUUUUUUUUUUUUUCCCAACAGUUCUGAAGGCUGGGAAGUUCAAGAUCAAGGCACUGGUAGAUUCAGUGUCUGGUGAGGGCCUGCUCUCUGGUUCUUAGACGAACAUCUGUUUCCUCGAGAUGCCCUCAUGUGGUGGAAGGGGCAAGGGACCUUGCUGGGGUCUCUUAUAAGUGCUCUAAUGAGCUAAUUACUUUCCAAAGGCCCUCUCUCCUAAUACUAUCACCUUACAGGUUAGGAUUUCAACAUACAAAUUUUGGGAAAGCAGUCAAUUGCAUUCUGCCCUCAUGUUUCUCCAGAGAAACAGAAACAAUAUAUAUGCAUAUACAGAAGAAAAUUUAUGAUGAGGGAUUGGCUCAUGAGAUUAUGGAGGUUGAGAAGUCCCAGUCUACCUUCUGCAAGCUGGAGAACCAGGAAAGCCUGUGGUAUAGUUCCAGUCCAAACCUAAAGGCCUAAGAACCAGGGAGGUCAAUCUGGGUCUGAGAGCCCAGAACUAUAUCUGCUCAGAUAUCUGCAGGCAGGAGGGAUGAAUAACCGGGUUCAAUGGGGAACACAUUUGUUCUUCCACCUUUUUGUUCUAUUCUUGUCCUUAAGGAUUGGAUGACCACCAUAUAGAUGAGGGCAGUCUUCUUUACUUAGUCUACCAAUUCAAAUGCUAAUCUCUUCCGGAAACACCCUCACACACACAUAUCCAGGAAUAGUGUUUUACCAGCUUUCUGAGUAGCUCUUAGCCUAGUCAUGUUGACACAUAAAAUUCACCAUCACAGCUUGUGAGUGUUUUGGGCCCUUAACCCUAAAGUUAAGCCACCUGUCAGACCUGCAAUCCCGGCACUUUGGGAGGCCGAGGCGGGUGGAUCAUG
rnacentral:lncRNA from 1 species